rnacentral:misc_RNA from 1 species
UAUUUAUAGACAAUAGGAUGUAAUUCCCCUUUACUAAGAACUUCAAAUUAUAAAUUUAUAGGUAGACAGUUAUCAUGGAUAAGUCCUGAACCUCUAAUAAUGUACAAAAACCAUAACCUCCUUGUCUACUAUCUUGUCCACCAGUUUCGUGUUUCACUCUGAUUGUAAUGUGAAACUAGAAAAGGAACUGCUAGGUAUGAAUCUUCAAAAGAUGUGAUCCAG